GUUGCUACUUACAGGUGAAUUCUCUUUUCUUGAGAAGUAAGAGAGUUCAUGUUUCCGAAGCAUAAAUAGAUUGAUUGCCAGAAUUGAACAGCGCGUUGCAUUCAUAUGUCAUUCUUCUCUGUGCUACCUGUCUCCUGGUACAUCA
rfam:Punica granatum cultivar Dabenzi scaffold346, whole genome shotgun sequence.